GUAGAAGCCAGCUUAACUGCGAGACAGACACGUCGAGCAGGUACGAAAGUAGGUCAUAGUGAUCCGGUGGUUCUGAAUGGAAGGGCCAUCGCUCAACGGAUAAAAGGUACUCCGGGGAUAACAGGCUGAUACCGCCCAAGAGUUCAUAUCGACGGCGGUGUUUGGCACCUCGAUGUCGGCUCAUCACAUCCUGGGGCUGAAGUCGGUCCCAAGGGUAUGGCUGUUCGCCAUUUAAAGUGGUACGCGAGCUGGGUUUAGAACGUCGUGAGACAGUUCGGUCCCUAUCUGCCGUGGGCGUUUGAGAAUUGAGAGGGGUUGCUCCUAGUACGAGAGGACCGGAGUGAACGAACCGCUGGUGUUCGGGUUGUCAUGCCAAUGGCAUUGCCCGGUAGCUACGUUCGGAACUGAUAAGCGCUGAAAGCAUCUAAGCGCGAAGCAGGCCUCGAGAUGAGUUCUCACUAGACUUUUAAAGUCUCUGAAGGGCCGUUGAAGACUACAACGUUGAUAGGCAAGAUGUGGAAGUGGUGUGAGCCAUUAAGCUAACUUGUACUAAUUACCCGUGAGGCUUAACCAUACAACGCCAAACGCGUUUUG
rnacentral:rRNA from 1 species